AACACAUGCAAGUCCAACGUGAAAGGGGAGCAAUCCCCCGGUAGGGUGGCAAACGGGUGAGUAAUACAUGGGUGAUCUACCUUAGGGAUGGGGAUAUCCUUCCGAAAGGAGGGGCAAUACCGAAUAUUGUCCGGAGCCGUGAAGGGUUCCGGGGAAAGGGAGGCCUCUGAUACAAGCUUUCGCCUUAAGAUGAGCCCAUGGCCCAUCAGCUAGUUGGUAGGGUAAAGGCCUACCAAGGCUACGACGGGUCGCUGGUCUGAGAGGACGACCAGCCACACUGGCACUGAGAUACGGGCCAGACUCCUACGGGAGGCAGCAGUGAGGAAUAUUGCGCAAUGGGGGAAACCCUGACGCAGCAACGCCGCGUGUGGGAAGAAGGCCUUCGGGUCGUAAACC
rnacentral:rRNA from 1 species